CGAUUUUCGCAAUGCCCGAAAGGGUGACGAAGCGACGCCGCGUGUGGGAAGAAGGCCUUCGGGUUGUAAACCACUGUCGGGAGUUAGGAAAUGCAGGUGCGUUAAUAGCGCACUUGCUUGACUAAGGCUCCAGAGGAAGCCACGGCUAACUCUGUGCCAGCAGCCGCGGUAAUACAGAGGCGGCAAGCGUUGUUCGGAAUUAUUGGGCGUAAAGAGCACGUAGGCGGCCUUGCAAGUCAGUUGUGAAAGCCUUCCGCUUAACGGAAGAACGGCAUCUGAUACUACAGGGCUUGAGUACGGGAGGGGAGAGUGGAACUUCUGGUGGAGCGGUGAAAUGCGUAGAUAUCAGAAGGAACGCCGGCGGCGAAAGCGACUCUCUGGUCCGAAACUGACGCUGAGUGUGCGAAAGCUAGGGGAGCAAACGGGAUUAGAUACCCCGGUAGUCCUAGCCGUAAACGAUGGGCACUAAGUAGAGGGGUUUU
rnacentral:rRNA from 1 species